rnacentral:rRNA from 1 species
CAGCCGCCGCGGUAAUACGGAGGGUGCAAGCGUUAUCCGGAUUUAUUGGGUUUAAAGGGUCCGUAGGCGGAUCUGUAAGUCAGUGGUGAAAUCUCACAGCUUAACUGUGAAACUGCCAUUGAUACUGCAGGUCUUGAGUAAAUUUGAAGUGGCUGGAAUAAGUAGUGUAGCGGUGAAAUGCAUAGAUAUUACUUAGAACACCAAUUGCGAAGGCAGGUCACUAAGAUUUAACUGACGCUGAUGGACGAAAGCGUGGGGAGCGAACAGGAUUAGAUACCCCUGUAGUCCCUGUCUCUUAUAA